rnacentral:tRNA from 1 species
GGUCGUGUAGCUCAGUUGGAUAGAGCGUUGGCCUCCGAAGCCAAAGGCCCCGCGUUCGAGUCGCGGCACGACCG